rnacentral:rRNA from 1 species
UACGAAGGGGCUAGCGUUGCUCGGAAUCACUGGGCGUAAAGCGCACGUAGGCGGCUUUCUAAGUCAGGGGUGAAAUCCCAGGGCUCAACCCUGGAACUGCCUUUGAUACUGACGAUCUGGAGAUCGGGAGAGGUUGGUGGAAUUCCGAGUGUAGAGGUGAAAUUCGUAGAUAUUCGGAGGAACACCAGAAGCGAAAGGCGGCCAACUGGCCCGAUACUGACGCUGAGGCGCGAAAGCGUGGGGAGCAAACAGG